rnacentral:rRNA from 1 species
GAUGAACGCUGGCGGCGUGCCUAAUACAUGCAAGUCGAGCGAACGGACGAGAAGCUUGCUUUUCUGAUGUUAGCGGCGGACGGGUGAGUAACACGUGGAUAACCUACCUAUAAGACUGGGAUAACUUCGUGAAACCGGAGCUAAUACCGGAUAAUAUUUUGAACCGCAUGGUUCAAAAGUGAAAGACGGUCUUGCUGUCACUUAUAGAUGGAUCCGCGCUGCAUUAGCUAGUUGGUAAGGUAACGGCUUACCAAGGCAACGAUGCAUAGCCGACCUGAGAGGGUGAUCGGCCACACUGGAACUGAGACACGGUCCAGACUCCUACGGGAGGCAGCAGUAGGGAAUCUUGCGCAAUGGGCGAAAGCCUGACGGAGCAACGCCGCGUGAGUGAUGAAGGUCUUCGGAUCGUAAAACUCUGUUAUUAGGGAAGAACAUAUGUGUAAGAAACUGUGCACAUCUUGACGGUACCUAAUCAGAAAGCCACGGCUAACUACGUG